rnacentral:rRNA from 1 species
GACGAACGCUGGCGGCGUGCUUAACACAUGCAAGUCGAGCGGUAAGGCCCUUUCGGGGGUACACGAGCGGCGAACGGGUGAGUAACACGUGGGUGACCUGCCCUCAGCUCUGGGAUAAGCCUGGGAAACCGGGUCUAAUACCGGAUAUGACUCCAUGACGCAUGUUGUGGGUGGAAAGCCUUGUGCGGCUGAGGAUGGGCCCGCGGCCUAUCAGCUUGUUGGUGGGGUGAUGGCCUACCAAGGCGACGACGGGUAGCCGGCCUGAGAGGGCGACCGGCCACACUGGGACUGAGACACGGCCCAGACUCCUACGGGAGGCAGCAGUGGGGAAUCUUGCGCAAUGGGCGAAAGCCUGACGCAGCGACGCCGCGUGAGGGAUGACGGCCUGGUGUAACUACUUCAGCUCCGCGAACGCGGAACGUAGACGGUAGGAGACGAGAAGAAGACGACCGGACCGAACCUAACCGUCG